rnacentral:rRNA from 1 species
UACGAAGGGGACUAGCGUUGUUCGGAAUUACUGGGCGUAAAGGGCGCGUAGGCGGCGCGGUAAGUCACUUGUGAAAUCUCUGAGCUUAACUCAGAACGGCCAAGUGAUACUGCAGUGCUAGAGUGCAGAAGGGGCAAUCGGAAUUCUUGGUGUAGCGGUGAAAUGCGUAGAUAUCAAGAGGAACACCUGAGGUGAAGACGGGUUGCUGGGCUGACACUGACGCUGAGGCGCGAAAGCCAGGGGAGCAAACGGG